AUGGGAUCCAGAACAAUCUCACCAGGCCCCGUGAACGCAAGCCCACCGUGGAAACGCGGACAGGGCUCCCGGAACAGGAAGCAAAGUCCUGGUCGACCCAGGAAGCUGACCCUUUGGCCAGGGGUCUGGCGAUGGCCCUGGGCAACACGUGGCCCCGGAAAGGGGUCCUGGGCAUUCAGAAUGCUGCCAUCAGCGAAACCCCUCAGAACGCCUCUUCCGGGGAAGACAGGAUGCUGGGGUGAUGCGAAAUCAGAGCACACCUCACCCUGCACACACACACACACACACACAUUCUUACAUGCUCACACACUCACAUUCACACACUCACACAAGGCUGUCGCACACUCACAGGCUCUCCCACACACACACACACAUUCUUACAUGCUCACACACAUUCUCUCACAUACAAUCACACACACAGGCUCUCCCACACACACAUUCACAAUCCUCUUCCACACUCAGACUCUUUCUCACACACACUCGCACACAAGGCUCUCCCACACACGCAGGCUCACACACUCACAGGCUCUCCCACACACAAUCACACAUAUGUCCUCGCACACUUACAGGCUCUCACACAUACUCUUACAUGCUCACACACACAUUCUCACGCAUAAGAUCCUGCACACUCACAGGCUCACGCUCAUUCCCCACAUUCUCUUACACACUCACACACAUGCACGUUCACAUGCACACACAUCCCCACACACAUGCUCUCACACACCUUCACAUAUACACACUCAUUUCACACACAUACACACAUCCCCACACACAUGCUCUCACACACCUUCACAUAUACACACUCAUUUCACACGCAUACACACAACUUCACAUAUACACACUCAUUUCACAUGCUUGCACACACCCUCACACACAUGCUCUCACACACCUUCACAUAUACACACUCAUUUCACACACAUACACACACCCUCAUACGCAUGCUCUCACACUCACACGCACAUGCUCACAUUCAGUCUCACACACACAUCCACACAAUGCUCUCACAUGCUUACACAAAGCUCUUGCACACAUGCUCACACUCAUUCUCACACCCUACCCUCCACACUCAUUUUCACAACCAUUCUCAAACACAUAUUCUCACACUCACACAAAGGCUCACACACACGCUCACACUCAUUCUCACACACAUCCCAACCUCUACACCCACUUAUAUACAUUUGCUCUCACACUCACAAGCACUCCAUGAGAGAAUCAAAAUGGCACCCUGUGGCCAGACCACCCCCAGACGCACGGACCUCCUCCGCGGGACGCGCUGGUCGCAGGCGAAUUUCUACUUCCUGCUGCGGUUUCUUCAGGAAAGGGGACCUGGCUUGUGUUUCUUUUUUAGAGAUUCAUUUUAUUUGCAAAUCAGAGUUACUGAGCGUGAGAGAGCAGAAAGAGAUCUUUCACCCACUGGUUCACUCCCCAAAAUGGUCGCAAAAGCCAGGGCUGGGCCAGGCUGAAGCCUGGAGUCAGGAGGUUCAUCUGCGUCUCCUACGUGGGUGCAGGGGCCCAAGCACCUGGGCCGUCCUCCACUGCUUCCCCAGGUGCAUUAACAGGGAGCUGCAUCGGAGGUGGGGCAGCCGGGACCUGGACCACCAACAAUAUGGGACACCAUAA
rnacentral:lncRNA from 1 species